GAUGAACGCUGGCGGCGUGCUUAACACAUGCAAGUCGAACGGAAAGGCCCAAGCUUGCUUGGGUCCUCGAGUGGCGAACGGGUGAGUAUCACGUGGGUGAUCUGCCCUGCACUUCGGGAUACGCCUGGGAAACUGGGUCUAAUACCGGAUAGGACCACAUUUUGGAUGGUGUGGUGGAAAGUUUUUCGGUGUGGGAUGAGCUCGCGGCCUAUCAGCUUGUUGGUGGGGUAAUGGCCUACCAAGGCGUCGACGGGUAGCCGGCCUGGGAGGGUGUACGGCCACAUUGGGACUGAGAGACGGCGCAGACGCCUACGGGAGGCAGUAGAGGGGAAUAUGGCACAAUGAGCGCAAGCCUGAGGCGGCGACGCCGCGUGGGGGAUGACGGCCUUCGGGUGGAAAACUCCUUUCGCUGGGGACGAAGCGUUUUUGGGACGGAACCUGGAGAAGAAGCACCGGCUAACUACGU
rnacentral:rRNA from 1 species